CCUAGGGUGGCAGCAGUGGGGAAUAUUGGACAAUGGGCGAAAGCCUGAUCCAGCCAUGCCGCGUGUGUGAAGAAGGCCUUCGGGUUGUAAAGCACUUUCAGUGGGGAAGAAAGCCUUGGGGCUAAUACCCUCGAGGAAGGACAUCACCCACAGAAGAAGCACCGGCUAACUCCGUGCCAGCAGCCGCGGUAAUACGGAGGGUGCGAGCGUUAAUCGGAAUUACUGGGCGUAAAGCGCGCGUAGGCGGUCUGAUAAGCCGGUUGUGAAAGCCCCGGGCUCAACCUGGGAACGGCAUCCGGAACUGUCAGGCUAGAGUGCAGGAGAGGAAGGUAGAAUUCCCGGUGUAGCGGUGAAAUGCGUAGAGAUCGGGAGGAAUACCAGUGGCGAAGGCGGCCUUCUGGACUGACACUGACGCUGAGGUGCGAAAGCGUGGGUAGCAAACAGGAUUAGAUACCCGGGUAGUC
rnacentral:rRNA from 1 species